rnacentral:rRNA from 1 species
AUACGUAGGGGGCGAGCGUUGUCCGGAAUUAUUGGGCGUAAAGCGCGCGCAGGCGGUCCUUUAAGUCUGAUGUGAAAGCCCACGGCUCAACCGUGGAGGGUCAUUGGAAACUGGGGGACUUGAGUGCAGGAGAGGAGAGCGGAAUUCCACGUGUAGCGGUGAAAUGCGUAGAGAUGUGGAGGAACACCAGUGGCGAAGGCGGCUCUCUGGCCUGUAACUGACGCUGAGGCGCGAAAGCGUGGGGAGCAAACAGGAUUAGAUACCCUGGUAGUCCACGCCGUAAACGAUGAGUGCUAAGUGUUAGAGGGGUCACACCCUUUAGUGCUGUAGCUAACGCGAUAAGCACUCCGCCUGGGGGGUACGGCCGCAAGGCUGAA